rnacentral:misc_RNA from 1 species
UCCGAGUUGACCCCGGCAGUCUCCUAUGAGUCCCCGGCAUUAUCCGCUGGCAACAUAGAACGAGGGUUGCGCUCGUUGCGGGACUUAACCCAACAUCUCACGACACGAGCUGACGACAACCAUGCACCACCUGUGCACGGCCCUUACGGACCUCCCAUCUCUGGAAGUUUUGCGGUGAUGUCAAACCCAGGUAAGGUUCUUCGCGUUGCAUCGAAUUAAUCCGCAUGCUCCGCCGCUUGUGCGGGCCCCCGUCAAUUCCUUUGAGUUUUAGCCUUGCGGCCGUACUCCCCAGGCGGGGCACUUAAUGCGUUAGCGUCGGCACGGGGGGAGUCGACACCCCCCACACCUAGUGCCCAUCGUUUACAGCGUGGACUAC